CAAUAAGCGGAGGAAAAGAAACUAACAAGGAUUCCCCUAGUAGCGGCGAGCGAAGCGGGAAGAAAACACUGCUCAAAUUUAUAAUCUGGCACCUUCGGUGUCCGAGUUGUAAUCUCUAGAAAUGUUUUCCGCGUUGGACCGCACACAAGUCUGUUGGAAUACAGCGGCAUAGUGGUGAGACCCCCGUAUAUGGUGCGGACGCCCAGCGCUUUGUGAUACAUUUUCGAAGAGUCGAGUUGUUUGGGAAUGCAGCUCAAAUUGGGUGGUAAAUUCCAUCUAAAGCUAAAUAUUGGCGAGAGACCGAUAGCGAACAAGUACCGUGAGGGAAAGAUGAAAAGCACUUUGGAAAGAGAGUUAACAGUACGUGAAAUUGUUGGAAGGGAAACGCUUGAAGUCAGACUUGCUUGCCGAGCAAUCGGUUUGCAGGCCAGCAUCAGUUUUCCGGGAUGGAUAAUGGUAGAGAGAAGGUAGCAGUUUCGGCUGUGUUAUAGCUCUCUGCUGGAUACAUCUUGGGGGACUGAGGAACGCAGUGUGCCUUUGGCGGGGGUUUCGACCUCUUCACACUUAGGAUGCUGGUGGAAUGGCUUUAAACG
rnacentral:rRNA from 1 species